rnacentral:rRNA from 1 species
AGAGUGAACGCUGGCGGUAGGCCUAACACAUGCAAGUCGAACGGCAGCACGGUAAGAGCUUGCUCUUAUGGGUGGCGAGUGGCGGACGGGUGAGGAAUACAUCGGAAUCUACCUUUUGGUGGGGGAUAACGUAGGGAAACUUACGCUAAUACCGCAUACGCCCUUCGGGGGAAAGCCGGGGACCAGCAAUGGCCUGGUGCUGAUAGAUGAGCCGAUGUCGGAUUAGCUAGUUGGUGAGGUAAUGGCUCACCGAAGGCGACGAUCCGUAGCUGGUCUGAGAGG